GCCUGGAUGGCGAAAUUGGUAGACGCAUCAGACUCAAAAUCUGACGGAUGUAUUUCCUUGUGGGUUCAAGUCCCACUCUAGGUACCA
rnacentral:tRNA from 1 species